rnacentral:rRNA from 1 species
UAGGGAAUCUUCGGCAAUGGACGAAAGUCUGACCGAGCAACGCCGCGUGAGUGAAGAAGGUUUUCGGAUCGUAAAACUCUGUUGUUAGAGAAGAACAAGGACGUUAGUAACUGAACGUCCCCUGACGGUAUCUAACCAGAAAGCCACGGCUAACUACGUGCCAGCAGCCGCGGUAAUACGUAGGUGGCAAGCGUUGUCCGGAUUUAUUGGGCGUAAAGCGAGCGCAGGCGGUUUCUUAAGUCUGAUGUGAAAGCCCCCGGCUCAACCGGGGAGGGUCAUUGGAAACUGGGAGACUUGAGUGCAGAAGAGGAGAGUGGAAUUCCAUGUGUAGCGGUGAAAUGCGUAGAUAUAUGGAGGAACCCCAGUGGCGAAGGCGGCUCUCUGGGCUGUAACUGACGAUGAGGCUCGAAAGCGUGGGGAGCAAACAGG